rnacentral:rRNA from 1 species
UACGGGGGGGGCAAGCGUUGUUCGGAAUUACUGGGCGUAAAGGGCUCGUAGGUGGCCAACUAAGUCAGACGUGAAAUCCCUCAGCUUAGCUGGGGAACUGCGUCUGAUACUGGAUGGCUUGAGUUUGGGAGAGGGACGCGGAAUUCCAGGUGUAGCGGUGAAAUGCGUAGAUAUCUGGAGGAACACCGGCGGCGAAGGCGGCGUCCUGGACCAACACUGACACUGAUGAGCGAAAGCCAGGGGAGCAAACGGG